AGAGUUUGAUCCUGGCUCAGAAUCAACGCUGGCGGCGUGCCUAACACAUGCAAGUCGGACGCGAAAGGGGGCUUCGGCUCCUGAGUAGAGUGGCGGACGGGUGAGUAACACGUGGGUGACCUGCCCGGUGCAGGGGGAUAACUUUUCGAAAGGGAAGCUAAUACCGCAUGAGCUCCUGGAAGCGAUUUUAGGAGGAAAGCCGAAAGGCGGCACUGGAGGGGCCCGCGCUCGAUUAGCUAGUUGGUGAGGUAAGAGCUCACCAAGGCGACGAUCGAUAGCCGGUCUGAGAGGAUGAUCAGCCACACUGGGACUGAGACACGGCCCAGACUCCUACGGGAGGCAGCAGUGGGGAAUCUUGGACAAUGGGCGCAAGCCUGAUCCAGCCAUGCCGCGUGCGGGAUGAAGGCCCUAGGGUUGUAAACCGCUUUCAGUAGGGAAGAAAAUGACGGUACCUACAGAAGAAGGUGCGGCCAACUACGUGCCAGCAGCCGCGGUGACACGUAGGCACCAAGCGUUAUCCGGAUUUAUUGGGCGUAAAGAGCUCGUAGGCGGUUCGGUAAGUCGGGUGUGAAAACUCUGGGCUCAACCCAGAGACGCCACCCGAUACUGCUGUGACUAGAGUGCGGUAGGGGAGCGGGGAAUUCAUGGUGUAGCGGUGAAAUGCGCAGAUAUCAUGAGGAACACCAGCGGCGAAGGCGCCGCUCUGGGCCGUAACUGACGCUGAGGAGCGAAAGCAUGGGUAGCAAACAGGAUUAGAUACCCUGGUAG
rnacentral:rRNA from 1 species